AGCUAUUUACUUGUUGCGGUCCCGGUAAUUCUUAGGGUGCAAGCGUUGUCCGGAUUUAAUGGGCUUAAAGAGUUCGUAGGUGUUUGCUUAAGUCUGGUGUGCAAUACCGAAGCUUAACGUCGGCAUGGCAUCGGAAACUGGGUGGCUGGAGUCCGUCAGAGGUAACUGGAAUUCCUGGUGUAGCGGUGAAAUGCGUAGAUAUCAGGAGGAACACCCGUGGCGAAAGCGAGUUACUGGGGCGGUACUGACACUGAGGAACGAAAGCCUGGGGAGCGAAAGGGAUUAGAUACCCGAGUAGUC
rnacentral:rRNA from 1 species